rnacentral:rRNA from 1 species
CCAGUACCGUAAACCGACACAGGUGGGUGGGUCGAGUAGACCAAGGCGCGCGAGAGAAACCUCUCUAAGGAACUCGGCACAUUAGCCCCGUAACUUCGGGAGAAGGGGUGCCUGCUUAGCAGGUCUCAGUAAAUUGCGUUUAGCGUCUGUUUAACAAAAACACAGCACUCUGCCAAGUCGUGAAGACGACGUAUAGGGUGUGACACGUGACCAAUGCGGAAAGAUCAAGGCAACUUGUUAGCCGUAAGGCGAAGCUCGGAACCUAAGUCCCCGUGAAUGUCGGCCGUAACUAUAACGGUCCUAAGGUAGCGAAAUUCCUUGUCGGGUAAGUUCCGACCUGCACGAAUCGUGUAACGACUGAACGACUGUCUCGGAGAGGAUCUCGGCGAAACUGUAACGGCGGUGAAGAUGCCGCCUGCCCGCAGUAGGACGGAAAGACCCUAUGCACCUUUACUGUAAGCUCGUAUUGGGUUCUGAUUAAUAAUGCUUAGCGUAGGUGGGAGACUUUGAAGGCGUGGCUUCGGUUGCGCUGGAGUCGAAAUGUGAAACACCACUCUUUGUUAAUUAGGAUUCUAACCUCGAUUCCUGUGAAACCAGGCGAGGGACAGUGCGUGCGGGUCAGUUUGACUGGGGCGGUUUCCUCCCAAAGAGUAACGGAGGAGCGCGAAGGUACUCUCAGCACGGUUUGCAACCGUGCGUCGAGCGUAUGGGUAGAGGAGUGCUUAACUGUGAGACAUACAAGUCGAGCAGGUACGAAAGUGGGCCCAAAUGAUCCGAUAGUUUAAUGUGGAAUUGCUAUCGCUCAACGGACAAAAGGUACGCUAGGGAUAACAGGCUGAUCGCCGCCAAGAGUUCAUAUCGACGCGGCGGUUUGGCACCUCGAUGUCGGCUCAUCGCAUCCUGGGGCUGGAGAAGGUCCCAAGGGUCCGGCUGUUCGCCGGUUAAAGCGGUACGCGAGCUGGGUUCAGAACGUCGUGAGACAGUUCGGUCCUUAUCCACUGUGGGCGAAGGAAACUUGAGGGGUUCAUUCUCUAGUACGAGAGGACCGAGAAUGACGCACUUCUGGUGUGGCAGUUAUUCCGUCAGGGGUAGCGCUGCGUAGCCAUGUGCGGAAGAGAUAAGCGCUGAAAGCAUCUAAGUGCCAAGCUCAUCCCAAGAUAAUGUUUCCCGGACGCAAGUCCCUAAAGACCCCAGCGAGACUAGCUGGUUGAUAGGUUAGGCGUGUAAGUGGAGUAAUCCAUUCAGCGGACUAAUACUAAUCGGUCGUGCGGCUUGAUCGC